AGUGAACGCUGGCGGUAGGCCUAACACAUGCAAGUCGAACGGCAGCACAGUCAGAGCUUGCUCUUACGGGUGGCGAGUGGCGGACGGGUGCGGCAUACCUCGGAAUCUACUUUUUCGUGGGGGUUAACGUAGGGGAACUUACGCUAAUACCGCAUACGACCUACGGGUGAAAGCAGGGGAUCUUCUGAUCUUGCGGGAUUGGAUGAUCCGAUGUCGGAUUGCUUCGUGGGCGGGGUAAAGGUCCACUAAUGCGAGAGGCUGAAGAUGGUCUGAGAGGAUGAUCAGCCACACGGGAACGAGGACACGGAGCAGAAUCCGACGGGAGGCACCAGUGGGGAAUAUUCGACAAUGGGCGGAAGCCUGAUCCAGCCAUACCGCGUAAGUGAAGAAGACCUUCGGGUUGUGAAGCCCGAUUGUUGAGAAAGAAAAACAGCAGGUUAAUACCCCGCGGUUAUGACGGUACCCAAAGAAUAAGCACCGGCUAACUUCGUG
rnacentral:rRNA from 1 species